rnacentral:miRNA from 1 species
UGCUAACCACCAUGCCAGACU